AUCAAUAUUAAAAAAAUUUAAAUAAAUUAAAAAGAAUUUUUUUUAAAAAUAAUAAAAUAUAUAAAUAUAUAAUAAUAUAUAAUAUUUUAAAUAUUUUUUAUAAUAAAAUAUUUAAAAAAAUAUUAUAAUAAAAUCUUAGAUAUUAUUAAAUAUUAAAAUUAUAAUGACUAAAUAAAAAUUAUUCUAAUCAUAUAUAUUUGAUACGAGUGAAAAAAAGAAG
rnacentral:lncRNA from 1 species